CCGGGAUUGAUAAUUUUCAAAUAUUCCCAUAAGAUGUUGAUUGAUUUGUUGUUUGUGACUGAAGCUGAUCUGAAGUCUCUCAGCUCAUGUUUUCAUCUCAUUCAUCAGAAACACUACAGCUGCGACCAGGGCCCCUCUGAGAUGGUGUUGUGUUCGAUGUGGACGGCCCAUUUGCUUCUUCGUAGAUGUGGUCUUUCUUCUCCACUCUACGAUGUGACUUGGAUGAACACCAUCGAGACC